rnacentral:rRNA from 1 species
UCAUCUCCGGGGGUAGAGCACUGUUUCGGCUAGGGGGCCAUCCCGGCUUACCAACCCGAUGCAAACUGCGAAUACCGGAGAAUGUUAUCACGGGAGACACACGGCGGGUGCUAACGUCCGUCGUGAAGAGGGAAACAACCCAGACCGCCAGCUAAGGUCCCAAAGUCAUGGUUAAGUGGGAAACGAUGUGGGAAGGCCCAGACAGCCAGGAUGUUGGCUUAGAAGCAGCCAUCAUUUAAAGAAAGCGUAAUAGCUCACUGGUCGAGUCGGCCUGCGCGGAAGAUGUAACGGGGCUAAACCAUGCACCGAAGCUGCGGCAGCGACGCUGAUGCGUUGUUGGGUAGGGGAGCGUUCUGUAAGCCUGCGAAGGUGGCCUGUGAGGGUUGCUGGAGGUAUCAGAAGUGCGAAUGCUGACAUAAGUAACGAUAAAGCGGGUGAAAAGCCCGCUCGCCGGAAGACCAAGGGUUCCUGUCCAACGUUAAUCGGGGCAGGGUGAGUCGACCCCUAAGGCGAGGCCGAAAGGCGUAGUCGAUGGGAAACGGGUUAAUAUUCCCGUACUUGGUGUUACUGCGAAGGGGGGACGGAGAAGGCUAUGUUGGCCGGGCGACGGUUGUCCCGGUUUAAGCGUGUAGGUGUGUGUUCCAGGUAAAUCCGGUUCACUUUAACACUGAGGCGUGAUGACGAGGCACUACGGUGCUGAAGCAACAAAUGCCCUGCUUCCAGGAAAAGCCUCUAAGCAUCAGGUAACAUCAAAUCGUACCCCAAACCGACACAGGUGGUCAGGUAGAGAAUACCAAGGCGCUUGAGAGAACUCGGGUGAAGGAACUAGGCAAAAUGGUGCCGUAACUUCGGGAGAAGGCACGCUGACA